GUGUCAGCAGCCGCGGUAAUACGGAGGGUGCAAGCGUUAUCCGGAUUCACUGGGUUUAAAGGGAGCGUAGGCGGGCAUGUAAGUCCGUGGUGAAAGCCCUCAGCUUAACUGAGGAACUGCCAUGGAUACUAUAUGUCUUGAAUGAUGUGGAGGUUUGCGGAAUAGGUCAUGUAGCGGUGAAAUGCUUAGAUAUGACCUAGAACACCUAUUGCGAAGGCAGCAGGCUACACAUAAAUUGACGCUGAGGCUCGAAAGCGUGGGGAUCAAACAGGAUUAGAAACCCCAGUAGUCC
rnacentral:rRNA from 1 species